rnacentral:rRNA from 1 species
UACGGAGGGUGCAAGCGUUAUCCGGAUUUAUUGGGUUUAAAGGGUGCGUAGGCGGCUUUUUAAGUCAGGGGUGAAAGACGGUAGCUCAACUAUCGCAGUGCCCUUGAUACUGAAGAGCUUGAAUACACUAGAGGUAGGCGGAAUGUGACAAGUAGCGGUGAAAUGCAUAGAUAUGUCACAGAACACCAAUUGCGAAGGCAGCUUACUAUGGUGUCAUUGACGCUGAGGCACGAAAGCGUGGGGAUCAAACAGG